rnacentral:rRNA from 1 species
UAGGGAAUUUCGGCAAUGGGGGAAACCCUGACCGAGCAACGCCGCGUGAGUGAAGAAGUAUUUCGGUAUGUAAAAUUCUUUUAUUAGGGACGAACGGUGCUAUUAGGAAAUGAAUAGUAAGUGACGGUACCUAAUGAAUAAGCCCCGGCUAACUACGUGCCAGCAGCCGCGGUAAUACGUAGGGGGCAAGCGUUAUCCGGAUUUAUUGGGCGUAAAGGGUGCGUAGGCGGUAAUUUAAGUCUGAGGUUAAAGUGCGGGGCUCAACCCCGUGAUGCUUCGGAUACUGGAUUACUUGAGUUUGGUAGAGGUAAGUGGAAUUCCAUGUGUAGCGGUAAAAUGCGUAAAUAUAUGGAGGAACACCAGUGGCGAAGGCGGCUUACUGGACCACAACUGACGCUGAGGCACGAAAGCGUGGGGAGCAAACAGGAUUAGAUACCCUGGUAGU